rnacentral:rRNA from 1 species
AGAAGGGAGCUUGCUCCCGGAUGUUAGCGGCGGACGGGUGAGUAACACGUGGGUAACCUGCCUGUAAGACUGGGAUAACUCCGGGAAACUGGAGCUAAUACCGGAUAGUUCCUUGAACCGCAUGGUUCAAGGAUGAAAGACGGUUUCGGCUGUCACUUACAGAUGGACCCGCGGCGCAUUAGCUAGUUGGUGAGGUAACGGCUCACCAAGGCGACGAUGCGUAGCCGACCUGAGAGGGUGAUCGGCCACACUGGGACUGAGACACGGCCCAGACUCCUACGGGAGGCAGCAGUAGGGAAUCUUCCGCAAUGGACGAAAGUCUGACGGAGCAACGCCGCGUGAGUGAUGAAGGUUUUCGGAUCGUAAAGCUCUGUUGUUAGGGAAGAACAAGUGCAAGAGUAACUGCUUGCACCUUGACGGUACCUAACCAGAAAGCCACGGCUAACUACGUGCCAGCAGCCGCGGUAAUACGUAGGUGGCAAGCGUUGUCCGGAAUUAUUGGGCGUAAAGGGCUCGCAGGCGGUUCCUUAAGUCUGAUGUGAAAGCCCCCGGCUCAACCGGGGAGGGUCAUUGGAAACUGGGAAACUUGAGUGCAGAAGAGGAGAGUGGAAUUCCACGUGUAGCGGUGAAAUGCGUAGAGAUGUGGAGGAACACCAGUGGCGAAGGCGACUCUCUGGUCUGUAACUGACGCUGAGGAGCGAAAGCGUGGGGAGCGAACAGGAUUAGAUACCCUGGUAGUCCACGCCGUAAACGAUGAGUGCUAAGUGUUAGGGGGUUUCCGCCCCUUAGUGCUGCAGCUAACGCAUUAAGCACUCCGCCUGGGGAGUACGGUCGCAAGACUGAAACUCAAAGGAAUUGACGGGGGCCCGCACAAGCGGUGGAGCAUGUGGUUUAAUUCGAAGCAACGCGAAGAACCUUACCAGGUCUUGACAUCCUCUGACAACCCUAGAGAUAGGGCUUUCCCUUCGGGGACAGAGUGACAGGUGGUGCAUGGUUGUCGUCAGCUCGUGUCGUGAGAUGUUGGGUUAAGUCCCGCAACGAGCGCAACCCUUGAUCUUAGUUGCCAGCAUUCAGUUGGGCACUCUAAGGUGACUGCCGGUGACAAACCGGAGGAAGGUGGGGAUGACGUCAAAUCAUCAUGCCCCUUAUGACCUGGGCUACACACGUGCUACAAUGGACAGAACAAAGGGCUGCGAGACCGCAAGGUUUAGCCAAUCCCACAAAUCUGUUCUCAGUUCGGAUCGC